rnacentral:rRNA from 1 species
ACGCUGGCGGCGCGCCUAACACAUGCAAGUCGAACGAGCGAGAGAGAGCUUGCUUUCUCAAGCGAGUGGCGAACGGGUGAGUAACGCGUGAGGAACCUGCCUCAAAGAGGGGGACAACAGUUGGAAACGACUGCUAAUACCGCAUAAGCCCACGACCCGGCAUCGGGGUUGAGGGAAAAAGGAGCAAUCCGCUUUGAGAUGGCCUCGCGUCCGAUUAGCUAGUUGGUGAGGUAAUGGCCCACCAAGGCAACGAUCGGUAGCCGGACUGAGAGGUUGAACGGCCACAUUGGGACUGAGACACGGCCCAGACUCCUACGGGAGGCAGCAGUGGGGAAUAUUGCACAAUGGGGGAAACCCUGAUGCAGCGACGCCGCGUGGAGGAAGAAGGUCUUCGGAUUGUAAACUCCUGUUGUUGAGGAAGAUAAUGACGGUACUCAACAAGGAAGUGACGGCUAACUACGUG